rfam:Streptomyces roseus strain ATCC 31245 contig_57, whole genome shotgun sequence.
GACGACCGGCCGGAGACGCAUGUCCCCGGCCCACAAGUGGAGGCUCCGCUCUCCCACCCGACCACCCUCCGGGGCGGCGGGUCACCGGUCAGGUGGCAUCCAUCGUUCCGUACGGACGAUGGAAAGCUGCCCGAGUCUGCGCCCCGCGAUCGCAUGCGGCGGUGCUCCGGUUGUAUUGGAGCCCCUGCCUGUGCCUCGGCGGGGCAUUUUUG